CAAGUGGGCCCUGUGACAGGGUUGGAGAUGGCAGCCGGCGGCGGAGGCAGCCUCGAGCUGGAAAAUCAAUAGGUGAUCAGCGGUCCAGGGGCACGCUGUUCAUCAGGCAUGUCAAGUUGACAACCAGGAUUAGCCACCAUGAUGAGGAACUUUCUGAGACUCGUGGAAAGUUCUUCUCUCAGAGCCUGUUCCUGGGAGGGGCAGUGUGAGGAACCCGCUCAGCACCAACUCUCUCCAGCAUGUUACUAUCCUUCAAGUCUGAACUCUUUCAGACACACGGAGCUGUGGGUGCAGUCUGCUGUGUCAGCG